rnacentral:rRNA from 1 species
GAUGAACGCUGGCGGCGUGCUUAACACGUGCAAGUCGAGCGAUGAAGUUUCCUUCGGGAAACGGAUUAGCGGCGGACGGGUGAGUAACACGUGGGUAACCUGCCUCAUAGAGUGGAAUAGCCUUCCGAAAGGAAGAUUAAUACCGCAUAACGUUGAAAGAUGGCAUCAUCAUUCAACCAAAGGAGCAAUCCGCUAUGAGAUGGACCCGCGGCGCAUUAGCUAGUUGUGGGUAACGGCUACCAAGGCGACGAUGCGUAGCCGACCUGAGACGGGUGAUCGGCCACGAUUGGGACUGAGACACGGCCCAGACUCCUACGGGAGGCAGCAGUGGGGAAUAUUGCACAAUGGGGAAACCCUGAUGCAGCAACGCCGCGUGAGUGAUGAAGGUUUUCGGAUCGUAAAGCUCUGUC